GAUGAACGCUGGCGGCGUGCUUAACACAUGCAAGUCGAACGGUGAAGCAGGAGCUUGCUCUUGUGGAUCAGUGGCGAACGGGUGAGUAACACGUGAGCAACCUGCCCCUGACUCUGGGAUAAGCGCUGGAAACGGCGUCUAAUACUGGAUAUGUGAUGUGACCGCAUGGUCUGCAUCUGGAAAGAAUUUUGGUUGGGGAUGGGCCCGCGGCCUAUCAGGUUGUUGGUGAGGUAAGGGCUCACCAAGGCGUCGACGGGUAGCCGGCCUGAGAGGGUGACCGGCCACACUGGGACUGAGACACGGCCCAGACUCCUACGGGAGGCAGCAGUGGGGAAUAUUGCACAAUGGGCGGAAGCCUGAUGCAGCAACGCCGCGUGAGGGAUGACGGCCUUCGGGUUGUAAACUUCUUUUAGCAGGGAAGAAGCGAAAGUGACGGUACCAACAGAAAAAGCACCGGCUAACUACGUGCCAGCAGCCGCCGUAA
rnacentral:rRNA from 1 species